rnacentral:ncRNA from 1 species
CCGGCUACUUUACGUUCUUCCUAUUUGACCCGAAACCGAUCGAUCUAGCCAUGAGCAGGUUGAAGAGAGCUCUAACAGGCCUUGGAGGACCGAACCCACGUUUGUGGCAAAAUACAGGGAUGACUUGUGGCUAGGGGUGAAAGGCCAACCAAGAUCGGAUAUAGUUGGUUUUCCGUGAAAUCUAUUUUAGUAGAGCGUAUGACAUCGAUGGCCCGAGGUAGAGCACUCAAUGGGCUAGGGUGGCCCCCAUUUCGCUUUACCAACCCCAGGGAAACUCCGAAUAUAGGCCGUCAUCCUUAGUACAGACAGACUGAUUGGGUGCUAAGAUCCAAAGUCGAGAGGGAAACAGCCCAGAUCGUACGCUAAGGUCCCUAAGCAAUCACUUAGUGGAAAAGGAAGU